UACGUAGGGUGCAAGCGUUGUCCGGAUUUAUUGGGCGUAAAGAGCUCGUAGGCGGUCUGUCGCGUCGGCUGUGAAAGCCCGGGGCUCAACCCCGGGUCUGCAGUCGAUACGGGCAGGCUAGAGUGCGGUAGGGGAGACUGGAAUUCCUGGUGUAGCGGUGAAAUGCGCAGAUAUCGGGAAGAACACCCGUGGCGAAGGCGGCUCUCUGGGACGGUACUGACGCUGAGACGCGAAAGCGUGGGGAGCGAACAGG
rnacentral:rRNA from 1 species